AGAACCCUGCUGUGCACGUGCAGCUUUAUAUUUUGAACCAACACCUUUACCUAGGGAGUUCGGAUUUGGAUGGAAAUAGUCUAUGCCCCUUUUGGGGGACAGAUGAAACUCUUCAAGAGAACACCCACCUGCAAUUAUGCAGACUCAAAAUACGGCAAUUAACGACAUGGUGGGGUAUGG
rfam:Dialister sp. CAG:357 genomic scaffold, scf44